rnacentral:lncRNA from 1 species
CUCAGCCAGGCUCCGCGAGCCGCAGGGCGGGGAAGCGGGACGUACCAAGCGGCAGGCGGCGGAGGGGUGCGGGCCGGAACUCCGCCCUUCGUGCUGGUCGGUCUCCACGCCCCACUCGGACUAGUGUCACCGCCUCCCCGCCGCAGACACUAUCCGACAAAGGAGGGGGAAUCAAAGGCUGGGCGAAGAGGCAGGGCAGGCGCCGGUGACGCUGCUGGGCAAGCGGGCUCUGCAGUAGCAUUUGUGGCGACCGUGGCAGUGGCUGUGACUGGAAGCUUCUGGAAAUGGCGGCGAUGAGGACCCCCACAUAGGGAUGGCCAUAGCAGCCACAAAAGGAAGCAAACAAGAACAAGUCCUGAUGGAGCAAUUUAUGAAGACAGGCAGCAUAGAGGGAGAAGAACCUGUCUGUCAACCCCACACACG